CUUUACCGACUGAGCUGCAAGGGAAGCCCAUACAUGUUCAAUAUGCUUUCCUGAGUUUCUGCUGUGAAGCAGACCAAGCGGGCAUCUCCCAUCUUCUUCACAGUCCACAUGGCUCACUGGGGCCAUAAGGCCGUUUUAGCAGACAGGUCGGGGGACCCAGGCCCCUCUUACUCUCUGGGCCUCAUCGGACUUCUGGAUCAUCGGAGGAGACACUGGGAUGGAGCAAGCGACCAGGCAGGCCUCUGCUAAGGAGAGAGCAGGCCCCCCAGGCGACGCUAACGAGGGAGAGGAAGCAGACCGGUCUCCAGCCAAGUUCGGUCACCAGGCCAUAUGCUCACCUGGCCCCAUAGACUCGCUGCCCAGGAUCCGAUGAGCCAGGAGGGUGUGAGCACGUGGGGCAGCCAAAUAGGACCAAAUGUCAGCUGAGGCCAGAGGGAGACAACAGUCCUCCGACACCCCUGGGAGCACCCGAUGACUCUGAGCUCCCUUCAGUGGAGGCCGUACUUGCGAAGGAACAAGUGUUUGACAGCUUCUCUGCUCUUCCCGGUUCCCUUGAACUCCUCAGAGGGACUUAAAGGGAUUGUGGAGCGCCCCCCCCCACCCCCGGGGUUUUCUUCUUUUUUUCACUUUGUUAAUUGUUCUUUAAUGUUUUCAUAGUUUUGAUAUAUGGUUUAAACCUUUAACUUUCAUUUUUAAAGUGAAGUACACUGUUUGUACAAAAGAACAUGUAAAUAACAUACAUAUGCUGUUUGAAUGAUGGUAACGAUAAUAAAAGAGUCACCCUGUACUCACUCACAUCCCAGUUUAAGAAGAGUUCAUUUCCAAAGCUUUCAAAGCUUGUUGAGUUCCCAUCACAUCACGCUGGGCUAGACUGAAGGCAAAAGGAGAAGGGGGCGGCAGAG